GUCUCCAUAGUGUAGUGGCUAGCACGUCUGUUUUAUGUGCAGAAGGCCCUGGGUUUUUGCUCAGGUGGAGCCA
rnacentral:tRNA from 1 species